UACAGGGGGUGCAAGCGUUAUUCGGAAUUAUUGGGCGUAAAGAGCGUGUAGGCGGUUUCGCAAGUUUGGUGUGAAAUCCCCGGGCUUAAUCCGGGAAGUGCAUUGAAUACUGCGAGACUAGAGUAUAGGAGAGGAUGGCGGAAUUCCUGGUGUAGAGGUGAAAUUCGUAGAUAUCAGGAGGAACAACAGUGGCGAAGGCGGCCAUCUGGACUAUUACUGACGCUAAGGCGCGAAAGUGUGGGGAGCAAACAGG
rnacentral:rRNA from 1 species